rnacentral:misc_RNA from 1 species
GAUGAAGAACGUAGCGAAAUGCGAUAAGUAGUGUGAAUUGCAGAAUUCAGUGAGUCAUCGAAUCUUUGAACGCACAUUGCGCCCUUUGGUAUUCCGAAGGGCAUGCCUGUUCGAGCGUCAUUAUCACCCCUCAAGCCCCGGCUUGGUGUUGGGCUCUCGGUGGUCGUCUCCGACCACCCGUCUCAAAGAUAGUGACGGCGUCCCAGAGGGAACCGGUACGAGGAGCUUUCACGAGCAUGUACGCGGGACGACUCUGCGGGCGACGGUCUUAUUUACUUUAUAUACAAGUGUUGACCUCGGAUCAGGUAGGAAUACCCGCUGAACUUAAGCAUAUCAAUAAGCGGAGGA